GUGUUCAUUUUUGGCAGCACAUAUUCUAAGAUUGUAAUGAUACAGAGAAGUUUAGCAUGGCCCCUGUGCAAGGAUGACAUGGAAAUUCAUGCAGCAUUCCAUAUUUUU